ensembl:antisense Gm16226 predicted gene 16226
AAGGGCAGUCAGACUGCCUCAGACACAACACCCAGAAAUCUUCUAAAGCAGCUGUUGAUGUGUCGGCACGAGGCAACUCACGGAGGCAUACCAAGUACCUAUGACAAGUAAGACCGGAGGAGAGGACCAGACAGCAGGAUUUUCAAAGAGUUACGGCACAGUGGCUUCUUUCUGAAGUCUAAACUUCUGAGAAUUGCUCCAAGCUUGCAGGAUGAGAUGGGAAACCAUGAAAGACCCACACAGCUAUGUUGUGGAUUCUUAGGAACUCCCUGUACUGGAGGAGGCGGCGAAAGGGCAGCUCAAAAGGAAAACAAGAGCAGCUUGGUAACCCCUGAGAAGCCUCUGUGCAUGUGGUCUUGUGUACACAAACAGACAUGAAGCCUGAGAGCAAAGCUGAAAAAUACAAUCACUGUGGUUUCUGGA